rnacentral:rRNA from 1 species
CUACGAAAGGUGCAAGCGUUGUUCGGAUUUACUGGGCGUAAAGAGAGUGUAGGUGGUUUAUUAAGUCGGAUGUGAAAUCCCGGGGCUCAACCUCGGAACUGCAUUCGAUACUGAUAGGCUAGAGUUUGGGAGGGGUAAGCGGAAUUCCGUGUGUAGCAGUGAAAUGCGUAGAUAUACGGAGGAACACCUGAGGCGAAGGCGGCUUACUGGACCAAUACUGACACUGAGACUCGAAAGCGUGGGUAGCAGACAGGAUUAGAAACCCUAGUAGUCC